AGCGAACGCUGGCGGCAGGCCUAACACAUGCAAGUCGAACGAAGUCUUCGGACUUAGUGGCGGACGGGUGAGUAACACGUGGGAACGUGCCUUUAGGUUCGGAAUAACUCAGGGAAACUUGUGCUAAUACCGAAUGUGCCCUUCGGGGGAAAGAUUUAUCGCCUUUAGAGCGGCCCGCGUCUGAUUAGCUAGUUGGUGAGGUAAAGGCUCACCAAGGCGACGAUCAGUAGCUGGUCUGAGAGGAUGAUCAGCCACAUUGGGACUGAGACACGGCCCAAACUCCUACGGGAGGCAGCAGUGGGGAAUCCUGCGCAAUGGGCGAAAGCCUGACGCAGCCAUGCCGCGUGAAUGAUGAAGGUCUUAGGAUUGUAAAAUUCUUUCACCGGGGACGAUAAUGACGGUACCCGGAGAAGAAGCCCCGGCUAACUUCGUGCCAGCCGCCGCAGUAAGAC
rnacentral:rRNA from 1 species